rnacentral:piRNA from 1 species
UUGGGUCCCAUCCGCUUUUUG